rnacentral:lncRNA from 1 species
AUGGCAGUUCUGAGUGGCUCAAGGGCCCACACUUUCUUUAAAACUGAUGCACUCGUAGUAAUAUUUCGUAACAUGCCCCACAUCCAGAGGCCUGUGCUCACCACCUCAGCAGUGCCCGGGGAGGUUCGCCAGGCGUGGGCAGGCUUUCCCUUGAAAGCACCUGACCUGGUUCUACCUUGCACUGGGGCUGAAUGCACGGCUUUAAGAACGACAAAACUUCUUGAAAUGCAAAACAGCGAUGAAAAUGCAAGUCUCAGAUUUACUGACAUACAAGAAACAACGGAAGGGGAAUUACAAUGUUUGAAGACGACAAGAGGAGAUUAUUCAGAAGAGAGACACUAGCAGGUAAAUACAAAGGAGUGGACAUAAUGUGGAGCAGAGCAUACACCUUAUAUCUAUCUACUCAGAGUUCUAGUCAAAAAGGAAAGAGAUAGCCUGCUGGUGGUGGCACAUGCUUUUAAUCUCAGCACUCAGAGGCAGGUGGAUCUCUGUCUCUUCAAGGCCAGCCGUGUCUACAUAAUGAGUUGUAGGACAACAAGGGCAGACAAACAGACAAACAAACAAAAAUCAUAUCUAGUGAUGGGCUCUAAUUUCAAAUAAGGUAAUUCAUUUUUAAAAGAUUACAUUAAUAGCCUGAGUUGUUAUCCUGAAGAAUAAUUCAAUUUUUAUCCAAUUCUUUGUACAUUUUUGCUGACCUUGGAAAGUUGAGCUUUGGUGUCUGGUGUCUAUUAUUCAACAGCCUGUGAUAAAUAUACCCCGCACCCUUUAGAUCUAACACAAACGUCUUGUUUUGUUUCUUUUCAGUUUCACAAGAAAAGGGGACAGGACUGGACCGCUGGCUGUUCCUUCUUUGAUCCCAGGCAUGAUUUCAGCUUGUAGAAUAAAUGAGAAAUGCCAGUUGGUUUAAUUAAAAGA